rnacentral:rRNA from 1 species
UACAGAGGGUGCGAGCGUUGUUCGGAUUUAUUGGGCGUAAAGGGUGCGUAGGCGGCGGAGUAAGUUGGGUGUGAAAUCCCGGGGCUUAACCUCGGAAUUGCAUUCAAUACUGCUUCGCUUGAGUACUGGAGAGGAGGCUGGAAUUUACGGUGUAGCAGUGAAAUGCGCAGAUAUCAGGAGGAACACCGGUGGCGAAGGCGGUGGUCUGGGCCGGCACUGACGCUGAGGAGCGAAAGCGUGGGUAGCAAACAGG